rnacentral:rRNA from 1 species
AUGGCCUGGAAUAAAAGGAAUAAUAUUAAAAAAUUACUGGAUGAUUUUGGAGUUUGGAGGGAAGAUAAGGAGUUGAAGGACCAUAUCACUGAUUAUUUUUCAAAACUCUUCACAUCGGAAGUACAGCAACCAAACCAAGAGGUUUUGCCCCUUGUUCGUAGGAGAGUUUUUUCUGAGAUGAACAACGCUCUCCUAGCCCCAUACACGGCCGAAGAUGUUCAUAAGGCAUUGUUUGAUAUCGGGGAUCUAAAAGCCCCAGGCCCAGAUGGAUUACAUGCUAUCUUCUAUAAAAGAUUCUAG